AGCAGCCGCGGUAAUUCCAGCUCCAAUAGCGUAUAUUAAAGUUGUUGCAGUUAAAAGCUCGUAGUUGAAUUUCGGGAUCAAUUAGUCGGUCGUGCCUCUGGUACGUACUGGUUUUAUUGGUUCCUCCCUUCUGACGAAACAUGAUGUCAUUAAUUUGGUGUCGUGGAGAAUCAGGACUGUUACCUUGAAAAAAUUAGAGUGUUUAUAGCAGGCUAACGCUUGAAUACAUUAGCAUGGAAUAAUGAAAUAGGACGUUCGACCCUAUUUUGUUGGUUUCUAGGAUCGACGUAAUGAUUAAUAGGGAUAGUUGGGGGCAUUAGUAUUCAAUUGUCAGAGGUGAAAUUCUUGGAUUUAUUGAAGACUAACUACUGCGAAAGCAUUUGCCAAGGAUGUUUUCAUUAAUCAAGAACGAAAGUUAGGGGAUCGAAGACGAUCAGAUACCGUCGUAGUCUUAACCAUAAACUAUGCCGACUA
rnacentral:misc_RNA from 1 species